rnacentral:rRNA from 1 species
UACGGAGGGUGCGAGCGUUGUCCGGAAUCACUGGGCGUAAAGGGCGCGUAGGCGGCGCGGGUAGUCAUCGGUGAAAGUUCAGGGCUCAACUCUGAAUCGGCCGGUGAUACUCCCGUGCUCGAGCACUGUAGAGGCAGGUGGAAUUCCGGGUGUAGCGGUGGAAUGCGUAGAGAUCCGGAAGAACACCGGUGGCGAAGGCGGCCUGCUGGGCAGUAGCUGACGCUGAUGCGCGAUAGCGUGGGGAGCAAACAGG